rnacentral:rRNA from 1 species
AAGGUUUCCGUAGGUGAACCUGCGGAAGGAUCAUUAGUGAACAAACCCGGUGUGGUUGCUGCUGGCCCUUUGGGCAUGUGCACACCCGCCAUUUGUUUCAUCCUUCUUUCCACCUGUGCACUGCUGUGGGCUACCCAGCCAAAAGCCUCCCCUGGCAUGCGGCUGGAACAAGUGGUCCACGUUUUCUCAUCAACUCCAAUGAAUGUGUAGAGUGUAGAACAAGGUCCUUCAUGGCCUUAUAAAAUCUAAUACAACUUUCAACAACGGAUCUCUUGGCUCUCGCAUCGAUGAAGAACGCAGCGAAAUGCGAUAAGUAAUGUGAAUUGCAGAAUUCAGUGAAUCAUCGAAUCUUUGAACGCACCUUGCGCUCCUUGGUAUUCCGAGGAGCAUGCCUGUUUGAGUGUCAUUGAAUCAUCAACCCCCCCACUUCUUUGUGGAGUCGGGGGUGCUUGGACAUGGAGACUGCAGGCCCCAAGAGGGCAUGCUUCUCUGAAAUGCAUUAGCAGUGCCUGUCAUGUGCAUCUGGCUUGGUGUGAUAGUAAUCUACGCCUGGCGACGUUGCACAUUGAAUCUGCUCACAAUCGUCCAACAUCCUGGACAACAUUGACAAUUUGACCUCAAAUCAGGUAGGAUUACCCGCUGAACUUAA